rnacentral:sRNA from 1 species
ACUGAACAAACUCCUUUCCGGUGUGAC